AUGUUUACAGGCUGGUCCUUGGGCUGAGCACUGGCUAGAGCCUGGCAAUGCCGCUCUGUCCCACUGUGAGCUUUAGACUAUAGGGUGCACUGGCAAUUGGCGGCUGCAUGUGUGUGGUAGCGGUUGUGCACUGCAGGAGUGCACAUCAUCUUCGGGCCCCCAGCAGACAGGCUGGAGCGCCUUGUUCAAUUUUCUCUGUUUCUUUUUUAAACAAGGACAUUUAUAUUCGAACAUUCAUCACUUCUUCCCCAGAGGAUAACUGAGGGUGAUCUGAGUUUAUUUUCGUCAACCACAAUAGAGCCUGACAGGUACCAACUAUUCUGGCUUUACUAACUGUUCUUCUGAUGUGUCAUUUUUGUGUGUCCUUUCCAGUAUUCCCAUAAGUGCUGCACAUACCCAUGGGGGGGGGGUCGACAUUUAUGAAAAGAUACUAUUUGGUGGCCCUCAUUUCAGUACCUAGCAUCUCCCAAAAGGCAUAGAAAGGAUACUUCUAAAGCAGGAGCUCAUGAAGUUUUAGGGCUUUUCUUAUGCCUUGGGGAUUUAAAAUAAUGCUAUCCUUAGACAGUAACCUGGGUGAAUGCAAAGGCUGGACUGCAGAGGGUAAGCGUGGAAGGCUACGAUGUGAGCAGGGACUGUGGCUGGGUCAGUCUGGUCUGUGUGAAAAGGGAGGGGUGAAGACAGAUUUCAGCCAAUUGCUCACAUUUGUAGAAAGAUGGAUGCUAACCUAAAAGUCAAAUGAAAGCCGUUAACUCCUUGUAGCAGGAAAGGGAUUAACUCCUUGUGUGGAGGGAUUCAUGUCGCUACUGGGAAGGUGAACCAGAUAACCCAGUGUCUGUCGCUCCCUGGGUCUCAAGGAUGCUGACAGUCUGGACAGAUUUCUCUGUGUAUGUAAGGUGAAACUUCCACAGCAGGUCUACGUGGAGACAGUGGGGGAAAUGAAGCCUGGCGUGAAUCUACGAGACA